rnacentral:rRNA from 1 species
AUGUAUGGGACAUUUGUACAAUCCACAUAUGAAGAUAAGGAAGAAAGAGAUGUUUAUUUGCUGUCCAAAAAGUUCUCUCACGUCACUUUUGGCCUAAGAGAAGAUAGAGUCCAAGUCUCUCACGUUCUGGAUUCAGAUUCGGACUGCACAGACACACCUGAAUCAAAACGCACACAAGUUUUUCAUACGGACUCCGAAUUGGGUGAUUUUUUUUUGUUGGAAACUAGAUUUCGUGCACUUUCCAACCCAAUUGGAAUCACCUUCAAAUUCGUCCGGAGCGUUGAGGUGUGGACGAAACAAUCUGAUGCUGCAGCAGAAUCCGAGUCAAACUACAAGUCCAAAGGUGUUACAUCACCUCCACUUGGGCCCAUUGGCCUUGUACGACCUAGAUUUAGUUUUAGGCUGCCUUGGGACGUCCUCCCACCUCCUUGGCCGCCACCCCUUGCUCCUAUAUAA